rnacentral:rRNA from 1 species
UGAACGCGAAGAACCUUACCAAGUCUUGACAUCCUUCUGACCGGUACUUAACCGUACCUUCUCUUCGGAGCAGGAGUGACAGGUGGUGCAUGGUUGUCGUCAGCUCGUGUCGUGAGAUGUUGGGUUAAGUCCCGCAACGAGCGCAACCCUUAUCUUUAGUAGCCAGCGGUCCGGCCGGGCACUCUAGAGAGACUGCCAGGGAUAACCUGGAGGAAGGCGGGGAUGACGUCAAAUCAUCAUGCCCCUUAUGACUUGGGCUACACACGUGCUACGAUGGCGUAAACAAAGGGAAGCAAAGCUGUGAAGCCGAGCAAAUCUCAAAAAUAACGUCUCAGUUCGGACUGUAGUCUGCAACCCGACUACACGAAGCUGGAAUCGCUAGUAAUCGCAGAUCAGAAUGCUGCGGUGAAUACGUUCCCGGGUCUUGUACACACCG